rnacentral:rRNA from 1 species
AUACGUAGGGUGCAAGCGUUAAUCGGAAUUACUGGGCGUAAAGCGUGCGCAGGCGGUUUUGUAAGACAGUGGUGAAAUCCCCGGGCCCAACCUGGGAACUGCCAUUGUGACUGCAAGGCUGGAGUGCGGCCGAGGGGGAAGGAAUUCCGCGGGUAGCAGUGAAAUGCGUAGAUAUGCGGAGGAACACCGAUGGCGAAGGCAAUCCCCUGGGCCUGCACUGACGCUCAUGCACGAAAGCGUGGGGAGCAAACAGGAUUAGAUACCCUGGUAGUCCACGCCCUAAACGAUGUCAACUGGUUGUUGGGGAUUUAUUUUCUCAGUAACGAAGCUAACGCGUGAAGUUGACCGCCUGGGGAGUACGGCCGCAAGGUUAAAACUCAAAGGAAUUGACGGGG